GUGGGGAAUCUUGCGCAAUGGGCGAAAGCCUGACGCAGCCAUGCCGCGUGAAUGAUGAAGGUCUUAGGAUUGUAAAAUUCUUUCACCGGGGACGAUAAUGACGGUACCCGGAGAAGAAGCUCCGGCUAACUUCGUGCCAGCAGCCGCGGUAAUACGAAGGGGGCUAGCGUUGCUCGGAAUUACUGGGCGUAAAGGGCGCGUAGGCGGACAGCUUAGUCAGAGGUGAAAGCCCAGGCUCAACCUUGGAAUUGCCUUUGAUACUGGCUGUCUUGAGUUUGGGAGAGGUGAGUGGAACUCCGAGUGUAGAGGUGAAAUUCGUAGAUAUUCGGAAGAACACCAGUGGCGAAGGCGACUCACUGGCCCAAUACUGACGCUGAGGCGCGAAAGCGUGGGGAGCAAACAGGAUUAGAUACCCUAGUAGUCC
rnacentral:rRNA from 1 species